rnacentral:rRNA from 1 species
UUACGAAAACUUGUCAAUGCACGAAAGUGUGAACGGGCUACCCCGAGUGCCGUCCGCUGAGGAUGGCUUUUCUCUGCUGUAAGAAGGCGGAGGAGUAAGGCGAGGGCAAGUCUGGUGUCAGCCGCCGCGGUAAUACCAGCUCACCGAGUGGUAGGGAUGAUUAUUGGGCUUAAAGCGUCCGUAGCCGGCCUAUCAAGUCUCUUGUUAAAUCCAACGAUUCAAUCGCUGGACUGCAGGAGAUACUGCUAGGCUAGGGGGCGGGAGAAGCCGACGGUAUUCUCGGGGUAGGGGUAAAAUCCUAUAAUCCCGGGAAGACCACCAGUGGCGUAGGCGGUCGGCUAGCACGCGCUCGACGGUGAGGGACGAAAGCUGGGGGAGCGAACCGGAUUAGAUACCCGGGUAGUCCCAGCUGUAAACGAUGCUGGCUAGGUGUUGAAGCGGCUACGAGCCGCUUCAGUGCCGCAGGGAAGCCAUUAAGCCAGCCGCCUGGGGAGUACGGCCGCAAGGCUG